rnacentral:rRNA from 1 species
GACGAACGCUGGCGGCGUGCUUAACACAUGCAAGUCGAACGAAGUGGCGAACGGGUGAGUAACGCGUAAUCAACCUGCCCUUCAGGGGGGGACAACAGUUGGAAACGACUGCUAAUACCGCAUACUGAAGGAGGGGAGUGCGUCUUAUUAGCUAGUUGGAGGGGUAACGGCCCACAAAGGCGAUGAUCAGUAGCCGGUAUUAGAGGAUGAACGGACAGAUUGGAAAUAAGAGGCGGGCCAGAGACAUACGGAAGAGAGCAAUGGGGAAUAUUGCGAAAUGGACGAAAGUCUGAAGGCGCAAGGCCGGGUGAGAGAUGAAGGCCUACGGGUUGUAAAGCGCUGUUAAUCGGGACGCGGUACCGGCAUAGAAAGCAACGGCUAGCUACGUGCCAGCAGCCGCGGUAAUUC